AACCAUGCAAUUACAGAGAGGAUUCUGGCACUGGUUAAUCUUUCUUUGACAAUGUAGGUACAACAGGCACUUUAUACCCAUGGGUUUUUUUUUGUUUUGUUUUUUUUUUACAACUGUUGUAACAAAUAUUACCAGCAUGAACAUAAAUUAACAUUACCAAUUUAUCUUCAAAUUGUCCAGAAAACAGUUGCUUUCAAGGAACUGGAAGGUUUUAAACAUCUGCAAAUUGUUUUCUUUCGUAAAAUAAUUUCACAUAGAAAACAGUCCGAUAUCCAACCCAAGACAGUAAUUGAGCCCAGAAGAGGUAAAAUACUAAAAUUAAAUAUUAGUUUGAAAUAUCUACAAUUUAGUGGCUUGAACCUAAAACAGUACUGCUCCCUUUCUUCAAACUCACAUCUUCCAGUCAUAUUUUUAAGAUUGUUUAGAAAUGUUUUAAAAUAGCCCUUUAAAGGGUAAACCAGCAAAAAAAAAAAAAAGUAUCAAGUAUCAACAUAAAUCUGCCUUGUCCUCCAUCUGAACUGUGGGUCCUCAAAAACAAUUAACAGAGUCAUUAACGAGCUGUUCACGACCACAGAUUAAGCAACACCACAAUAAAAAAAAAAAAAAACAUUUUAAAAUGAAUGUUGGCAUCGGUUUUAGUGUAAAUGCAAGUAGAGUUUUUCUUUUCUUUUAAAGACACUGUGAUAUCAGCCCUCAUGUUUAACCACAGUGCUACAGAAAAAAAGAAGAAGAAAGAAUUGAAAUAUGGUCCCAUAAGGAAUGAGCAGUCCAACACCGAGUCCAAAACCAAUUGGGUGAAAAAAAAAAAAAAAAAG